GACAGGGGGGGCUAGUGUUAUUCGGAAUUACUAGGCGUAAAGGGCAUGUAGGCGGUUAAUCAGGCUGAAAGUGAAAGCCACCAGCUCAACUGGUGAAAUACUUUCAACACCAAUUAACUUGAGUAAGAUAGAGGAAAGUGGAAUUUCGUGUGUAGAGCUAAAAUUCACAGAUAUACGAAGGAACACCAAAAGCGAAGGCAACUUUCUGGGUCUCUACUGACGCUGAGGUGCGAAAGCAUGGGGAGCAAACAGG
rnacentral:rRNA from 1 species